UUGACCUCGGAUCAGGUAGGGAUACCCGCUGAACUUAAGCAUAUCAAUAAGCGAGAGGG
rnacentral:rRNA from 1 species